GGGCGGGAGCGCAGGGAGGGAGUGGGGGGCGGGCGGCCGCCGCUCUCCGGCCAAUCCUCGACCCCGGGGAGUGCGGAGGCGGGGCCGCAGCCGGCGUGAAUAUGCACGAGGCACUGCGGACCCACCCCCGGCCUCACCUGCGCGCACCUGAACUCAAGCUGGCGCGCCGCGCCCAGUGUCCUGCCGCGUGCGGGAGGAAAUAGUCCCUGGGACGCACGGCAUCCUGGGCCGCCUCCAGGCCGGAUCGCCGAGGGGAGCGGCCCCUCCCCCACGUCGGCCUGGAGCGACUGCGGGAGGGACGUAGCCGCGCCUGCUCUUCGCGAAGACGCCCAACCCAGUCCGAGCGGACACACAUGAAUAUCCCCCAGCUCAUGUCCAACCUCAGGAGUCAAGCUGAGUCAAGCCAGCUGCCAAUUCCUGCUGGCAGCCAAGGCACCCUGGAGACAGGCACUACCUGGAGACUCACCGGGCACCUCCAUCAGCAAGGUGUGUCGUCUGCAGCACAGAGAGAUGCUGCAGGGCUGUGGCUGUGAGGACAGUGAAAAUAAGGUGUUGGCGGGGGGGAGUCAACUAUCUACAGACUCCCCUGACAUUUCUGAAUCUGCCAUCUAGUUUAGUGUUGCCAGACUUAACAGAUUAAAUUGAAAAAAAAAAUUGUAGGUAUGUCCAAUAUUUGGAAUAACUUACACUAAAAAAAUUAGCUGAUUAUCUGAACUUCAAAUAGAACCCAUCUAGAGGCAACCCUAAUCUUGUUACUUAGAAUCUCCCAUGUUCUCAUAAAGAUUGUAAAGAAUUCUGCAUCUCUUAAUACUGUUCUUGCCCUAUCAGUUCCCUGUUCUUAACAAUGCAAGGUGUACCAGUAAGCCUUUUAUUUGGCCAAGAUGGCACCUCCUUGCUCCCCUGUCCCCGAGUUGAGAGAACAGGGACCGCAGCAGGCUGGUGGCAGAGCCGCCGGCAUGCAUCUUGUUUAUGAUUUUAAGGAUACAGUUGUAGUUUCAUUCCCCCUCGCCUCUCCCUGGACACAGACUCGCCAUUUCCAAACCUUCCCACAUGGAUCCUUUUGCUGCUUUGCAGAACAGACUGUCCUUGUGGGUUCCACUCCAUGGGACAGCUCUCUCCGCCCCAGCUUUCUUAAGCCUCAAUUAGUCAUGGCCAAUCCAUGUCCCUUUCAAAGUCUUAGGACUCCUCAGCUGCCAGGGCCUGCAGGGCUUUGGCAGGGUAAGGAGGUACCUGGGGAGUCAGCCUGGCCAGGACUCAGCAAGGGUCUGACAGGCUGGUCCCACAGAUGUGGGGGGCGGCUCCGGCUCUUCUGCAGGUGCCGUGUUCGCAGCAGCUGCUUGUAUUCCUGCCAACUGGAGCAGCAGCGCACCUCGGGAUCUGAGUUCACAUCCUCCCGGAAGUGCUGGGCCUCUGCAUGUUGCUCCCGUUCCCUCCUGGAGAGCUUCUCCUUCCUCUGGUUCAGCUUCUGACACCAGGAUUCGGCAUCUGUCUCCCGCCCAGUGACAUUGACGGGGAGCAGUUCUGGGGCUGGGGCAAGCAGAAGGGUGUGGCGGCUAUCUGAAGCCAUGUUGGGGAAGGAGAUCUGUUCAAAGUUCCAGCGUGGCUUACGAACCCCCUUGACCCCGUUCUCUACUUUGCCACUCUCCUGGCUGCACCCCACCCCCUCAUGAGCCAGGUCAGGCCAGGGCUGCAGGGAUCCCAGAAGCUCAGAUGGGCCCACUGGGCCCUUUACAGGGUUUGACUCCUGAGGUUUCUCCUCUUCGCAUUGGUUGUUCUGGUUGCAAGGAGGUGGGCUGGAGAUUGUCAGGCUCUCUGGUGUCUCAUUCACCCCCUGCGGGGGAUUCUCCAGGGCCUUGGCCUUCUUAUUAAUGCACCUGAGGGAUGUGGGGAGGAAAUUCAGCAUAUCUGCUCCUGAUGGCUGAGAUGCACACGUCCCACACACCUGCUGCUGCCUCCAGGAUCCCACUAGGGAGACACCCAAGCCCAGCUCUUAAGCCAAUGUUUUCUCCAAGGUCCCUCAAACAAGUACUCCCUUAACAGCUCUGCUCCCCAGAACUCCCUGGGCGGGGGGGUGGGGGUGGCCAUGUGGGAAACACUACCGAGAGCUGGAGCUCCUCCUCUUCCUCUUGCCAUUCUGAUCCUCUAAGCACCGGGCACUGCCGUCCAAGUUCAGCUGUCUCUCGUAAGGGGACAGGAUGGAGCUGUGGGGUGAGAAUCGGGUGGGCAACAGAUCCACUUCCUCAGCCUGGAGUUCCCAGUGGAAUUUGUGAGGGACUGGCCCAGAAGACAAAUCAGGGGGCCAGGGUCAAAGCCAAACCCAAGGGCCAAGUCCCUGGGCAGACCUGCAAGCAAGGUAAACGGAGGCAACCGCAGAGGCCUGCCCAUGUGUCUUUGCCCAGGCCUCUGGGUCUCACCAGUGGCCCCUUUGAACGGAGACUUACUGGAACCAGGGCUCCUGGAGAGCUGGCAAUAAAUGAUUAACCACUAGUGAGAAAAAUGAAGAGACCAGAAAACUUGGAAAAUACAGAAAAAUAAAAAUACAAACAUUUUUGGUUCUUAUAAACAUGCACCCUCUCAUAUGGUUUUUUCCUAUCAAAAAUUACAUUGUACUGGGGUGCCUGGGUGGCUCAGUUGGUUAAACAUCUGCCUUCAGUUCUGGUCUUUCCACUCUAUGGCUGAUGGUCUCUGUGGCUCUUAGCAAUGCUGAGCUAUUAAGGUGAUCAUGUUUAGAGGCCCCAGAAGGAAAGAACAUCUAACGUAGCCAAAGGAAUGUGAGACCCUACUCAACUGUUAAUGCCUCACUUGGCCCGCCACUCACGCAUGCACUUGACAAAUCUGCUUACACACCCACUGAGGCACCGUUCUGGGUUACAGCUAUGUGCCAGUGCACUGCCAUGAGCUAGAAGUGCUUAAUCGUUAUCUGCAGAGCCAUCAGGCUGAAGAUGGGGCUCAAUUUGAUAACCCAGGAAAAGCUGAAAUGACCUAGACUUGUCCCAGCGUGCCUCUUGAUACAGCACUUCCAACAGAGACCCCCAGCCCAUGCCCAGGGAGCUGCAGCUCCAGAUAAGGAUUCCAGGUCAAGAGAGGCCAUUUUCCAUCUUGGGGCUCAUCUACUGGGUCCCAUGAGUGGAAUAAAUGGGAGGGAAACGGGA